rnacentral:rRNA from 1 species
UACGAAGGGUGCAAGCGCUACUCGGAAUCACUGGGCGUAAAGCGUGCGUAGGCGGUUCGUUAAGUCUGCUGUGAAAGCCCUGGGCUCAACCUGGGAACUGCAGUGGAUACUGGCGGACUAGAGUGUGAUAGAGGAUGGUGGAAUUCCCGGUGUAGCGGUGAAAUGCGUAGAGAUCGGGAGGAACACCAGUGGCGAAGGCGGCCAUCUGGAUCAACACUGACGCUGAGGCACGAAAGCGUGGGGAGCAAGCAGG